rnacentral:rRNA from 1 species
GGGCACCUACGGGAGGCAGCAGUAGGGAAUCUUCCACAAUGGACGAAAGUCUGAUGGAGCAACGCCGCGUGAGUGAAGAAGGGUUUCGGCUCGUAAAGCUCUGUUGGUAGUGAAGAAAGAUAGAGGUAGUAACUGGCCUUUAUUUGACGGUAAUUACUUAGAAAGUCACGGCUAACUACGUGCCAGCAGCCGCGGGAAUUCGUAGGUGGCAAGCGUUGUCCGGAUUUAUUGGGCGUAAAG